ensembl:lncRNA
GGAUCCCGGGAAGGCGGAGCCGGCAGCCUCUGUCCUCUGCAUGGGGCUCCCUGACCUCAGCUCGCAGGCCCGCCGGGAGCAGCCGGCCUCCCCGCCUCGCCUGUGGCCCCUGGCUCCUCGCAGUGAGGCCGGAGACCAGAGUUGGCCCAGGACCAUGCACGGUGCGCAGCACUGACCUGCCUGCUCCAGGAACUGUGGCGCCUCUGCCUGCCUCAGCCUCAGGCCCGGCCCGGAGAGCACCUCCCUCCUCUGCCUCCUCCCUCAGCCGCCACAGCCCGCAUGUCCGCGGCCCUCGCUUAGCUGCUCACCUGGACCCCCACCGGGAGGGAGUCGUGGGCUCCGCAGCUGCCCCGCACACCUGCCGCAGACUGGGGAGCCACAGUGACAUAACUGAGAAAGAAGAAGGCACAAGAUUUCUUCCCUGGAACAAGUCUGUUUCUACAUAUCAUUAAGGACGAACUUUAUUUUCCUCCCUCGCUGAGUUCUCCAGUAUGCCUAAGUGCUUGGUGUUUUCUGUCUUUAUAUGGCUGAGAUUGAAUCGUUGAAUGUCGCCAAUCCCCACUCUAUCAGGCCCCUCAGGAAGGGGAUGAGCGGUGAAAGGACAACUACCCAGUUACCCUGGGCAGCCCGGGCAGCCUGCGCAUCCUCUCCAUUUGGGGGGGGUGGUUCUCAUGGGAGACCAAGGGUCUGAAUUAGCUCUGCACAGGCACCUCUGUCUCGGCCUUGACUCCAAGGACAGGCUUGGUCAUUGUCCUUGGAGAAGACAUUUCCCAACGGUGCCAUGCCCCACAGUGGUGACGCAGGAGUCUGUCGUGUGUGGGCUCCACAGCCAAGGCCUCCCCACCCCAGGCUAAGGGCAGAUGUGCCUGGAAGCCCUGGUGUCGGACUGACCCCAGGCAGAGGACUACGAAGAGAAGACGUUUCUGUCUCUCUCGGGCCCGGGGCCCCAGCUCAGCCUGACUCCUGCUGGGGACUCGGGGCCCAGCCUCCCUGCCCUCCACGGAGAGAGGGAGCCCAGCUGCCAGUGCACCUGAUCCUUCCAAGGACAGGCCGAGGGGGGAGGAGAGAGGACAGGAACACUCCCUGGCAAGUCCACUCCGUGCUCCUACAGAAACACAGGGUCUAAAGGGUCUGGCUCUGGCCAAAAGGGCACCUAACCAUCGCGUCACAGGUCAGUUAAGGAGCCGAAUUCUGAGACGGCCGAGGACGCUGGGCAGGUCCCGCUUCAGCUACAGCAAGGCCAGCUCCACACUCCUCCGAGUCCCCCAGCUUCCUGAGUCACAGUGAGACACGCCUCCCACCGGGAGCCAAACCCAGGGCCAGCGCAGGGUCGGGUGCAGACAGAGACUCUGCAGCCUGCAGGCCAGGUCCCCAGGGCAUCAGCAGCACUGUCUGGGGCCAGGGGACACAGCUGUCCACUCACACCGGCCCCUGCCCGCAGCUCUUCCAAGUCACGGUGGCCAAAAGCCACGAGCAUACGAUAGAAACUGCACCUCCCAGCUCUGCUGUGUUGAGCCGCCUGGAGCCGCACAGGGCUCGCGAGAGGCGGAGCAUUUGCUGAGCUGAGCUGUGACAGGGCUCUAUGCGCCCUCUCUGACUGGGGACAUCAUCAACUUUCGAGGCGUGUGCCCUGUGCCGGGACCUGGCCCCACCAUUUGGGUUGGACAGGUGCAUACUUAGGGAACUGACUUGCGAAGCUGUGGAGGACAUAAGUCCGAAUUCUGCGGGCAAGCGAGAGUCAGCAGGCUGGAGACCCAAGGAAACCCUGAGGCCGGCUGGACUCCACGCCCUGUGGCAGAUCUCCUUCCGAAGGAGAGCCGUCCUUUCUACCCUGCAGCCUUCAGCUGACUGGUGGGCCCAGGCUCGUCCCGGAGGGAGGGUAACCUGCCGUCAUGGUUUAGAUGUAGAAUGCCCCCCAAAGCAGCCCCAGCUGGCCCCAAGCUCAUGCAAUCUGGCGACCCUCCUACCUCGGCCUCCUGAGCGUUGGGAUCCCAGGCCUGCACUACCAUGCAGGCUCCAGCAGUAAGGCUUUUAAAAGGCGCUCGGGUCAGGGGUGCUACAGGCCUCAGCGGAUUUGCCAGUGGAAGAGCUCAGGGCUAAGUGCAGCUGGGCUGCGGCCCCAGGGACCUCCCUGCCCAGUCCUCCCUUCUCUCUGCUCCCGGCUGCCUUUGUGAGCAGCCUUUCUCCACCAGGUCCUCCCACCCUGCCAUUACUGUGGGGGAUUAGCUCCAGUUUCCAGCUGCCUCUUGAUGUAAAUGGUUUUUCAAAUCACAAAGAAAUUAGAGAAAAAUUCAGGUUCCACCAACUCUGAAGUUGAACACUGAAAUGGGCAUUGAAAUACUCCUAAAAGUUUGGGGUUUUUUUUAAUAUAUAUUUUAACAAAUACCAAUAUUAACUGGUCUCUGUGAAUUUUACCUAAUAAACUUGUUCAUGG